AACGAACGCUGGCGGCAUGCCUAACACAUGCAAGUCGAACGAGACCUUCGGGUGUAGUGGCGCACGGGUGCGUCACGCGUGGGAACCUGCCCUUAGGUUCGGAAUAACACCCCGAAAGGGGUGCUAAUACCGGAUAAUGUCCUCGGACCAAAGAUUUAUCGCCGUUGGAUGGGCACGCGUUGGAUUAGCUAGUUGGUAGGGUAAAAGCCUACCAAGGCGACGAUCCAUAGCUGGUCUGAGAGGAUGAGCAGCCACACUGGGAGUGAGACACGGCCCAGACUCCUACGGGAGGCAGCAGUGGGGAAUAUUGGACAAUGGGCGAAAGCCUGAUCCAGCAAUGCCGCGUGAGUGAUGAAGGCCUUAGGGUUGUAAAGCUCUUUUAACCGGGAGGAUAAUGACAGUACCGGGAGAAUAAGCCCCGGCUAACUCCGUG
rnacentral:rRNA from 1 species